rnacentral:rRNA from 1 species
UAACGCGUGGGUAACCUGCCUUGUACAGGGGGAUAACAGUUGGAAACGACUGCUAAUACCGCAUAAGUGCACAGCAUCGCAUGAUGCAGUGUGAAGAACUCCGGUGGUAUAAGAUGGACCCGCGUUGGAUUAGCUAGUUGGUGAGGUAACGGCCCACCAAGGCGACGAUCCAUAGCCGACCUGAGAGGGUGACCGGCCACAUUGGGACUGAGACACGGCCCAA